rnacentral:rRNA from 1 species
UACGAAGGCGGCAAGCGUUGUUCGGAUUUACUGGGCGUACAGGGAGCGUAGGCGGUUGGGUAAGCCCUCCGUGAAAUCUCCGGGCCCAACCCGGAAAGUGCGGAGGGGACUGCUCGGCUAGAGGAUGGGAGAGGAGCGCGGAAUUCCCGGUGGAGCGGUGAAAUGCGUAGAGAUCGGGAGGAAGGCCGGUGGCGAAGGCGGCGCUCUGGAACAUUUCUGACGCUGAGGCUCGAAAGCGUGGGGAGCAAACAGG